CACCACUAAAGCAGGAUCUUUUGGAGAUUGUUCCUUGGUGGAGAUUGCCUCAGAGGUUCCCAGCAGACCAGAGGCUUCUAUAUGGGUGUGUUUUUCCUGCAAAUAACCUUUUGGAUAGUUACUACCAUCUUUUCAUUGUUGUCACCGUACAAGGCCAUUCUGUGAUCAAGUACCACAACUAACACCUGUUCUGCAUUUAACUCCGGAGACAUGCUCCUGUUCAGGAUGGGAGCCUGCCCACCACCCCACCUGUUCGCAGCAGUGCAGGGAAGAGGAUACAUGAGGCAUGCCAAAAGAUGGGUCUUCUGUUCUUAAUUUCUUUUCCUGCUGACCUGUACCAGAGGGACAGGAGAUCAACCUCCUUUUGCCUACCUGCCCCCCUAAGCUGUGGGCUCCCUUCUUAUCUUGAAAAUUUGAUCCUCUGGAACAUAUCAAGCCCAUGCUCACUCUUUUCCUGGUACAGAGGUGCCUUAGCAAAACUCUCCAGUGUGAGAUUUACCCAUGGCUUUCACAGAUGCAGUAUAACUAGGAAUGCUGAUGUCUCGUUGAGUCCCCAGGACAACCUGACACGAGGAGCAGAAGGCUUUGUCCAGGUGUGCUGGAAGGACUGCAACCAGGGAGCUGGUGCCAAGUGGCCAUGCCCCUUUGCAGUCCAGAAGGAAGGUUUGUGA
rnacentral:lncRNA from 1 species